UUUUUUUAUCUUUAUUAGCUUAAUCCAUUUGCUUUUCUAUGUAUGCUUUGCGGGAGCUGCUAGGUGUGCUUGGGUUGAAGUACGUGGACAGAAAGAGUACUUCGAAAUAGUGCAUUAGAAUCCCACAUCGACCACGGACAAAAGUAGAAGAACAAAGCUGCGUAUAAAAAUGAAUGCUCAAUAUUUGACAUAAGCAUACCUUUCUCGGCCUUUUGGCUAAGAUCAAGUGUAGUAUCUGUUCUUAUCAGUUUAAUAUCUGAUACGUGAAUCAAUGGUUUACAUGAUAUUAAAUUAAUUUUUUUAGGGUGAGGGCUCGCUACAUUAGCUUGCUACUGGGGUUCUUGCGUGUCCCCCAAGCUUUGCACUAUUGCUUGGGCCUGGCACGACCCACCAAAUUCUAGGUUAAAAUUUUCAAGGCCCAACAUAUAUUAAGCAAUACCAAUCAUCCUUGUUGGAAACCAAUUUUGUGACGGUGCUUUAGUUCAAUUUUAUUUUAGACCUUCGCUCCUCAUCCCAGCUCGUAUCCCCUUUUAUUUUCUGAAAUUGAAGUUCCAAUUAGCUUUUGGCAAUACCAUCUUCACUUCGCUGUUUGUGUAUACGUUUUCAUAUCCCACAUCGGCUGCACAAAAAACGUGGGAGAAACAAGACUUAUGUUGUAAACAUAGACGUCCCAUUAUUUGGUUUGAGGGGAUGACAUCAUGUCUAUGUAAGCAAUGACAUUUAUGCAACAUGUUCCAUAAACAUGCUUAAUAUAAAAUCAGUUCAUAAACUCGUAAGGCAUGCUAUUCAUUUAUGCAAUUAAACUAUGAAAUCAUGUAAUUUUAGAAGGGGUCCACUCACAGAUACUCCGUAGCAAUAGAGUUGUGUGUAUAAGGAUUAAGAAUUUUCCCAUUAGCAACUUCACCUAAGCACAAAAAAAUGUACAAUUUAUCAAAUUACCCAACUAUAGAAUUUCAAGAAAUGAAAAUGGGUCUUAGGUUUGGAUCCGGAUUAGGGUUUAGGUUUAGGUUAAAUAGGGUUAGGACCUAUUGGGUUUUGGGUUUGGAUAGUUUAGGAACAAAGGGGUGGUUUGGCUUGAGCCCAAACCCACACAACACACAUACACACACGCCAGCACAUGCACAACACACACACACGUGCACCACACACAUUCACACACGCUUACACACACACACACACGUGCACCACACACACUGCACACGUGCACACACACGACACAACACACAUAGCACAACACACACACACACACACACACAUCGCAGCCCACACCACACAUACACUGUACUGCACACACAUUUACGACACUGACCAACAAACAACAAGGUAAUUAAUUACCUGGGUUCGAAUUCAAAGGGGUCCGUGCACCCACAGCAACAAACUCGCCGAAGUUCGUCCUCGGGGAAGGUAUGCAUGCACAUGUAGCGGAUAACAGGGCUGAGAUUAAGGGUAAGAGCUCAAAGCUCUCGGGUCUUCAAUGGCAGAGGACUCGGAGUUGCUCUGAUGUUGCAUGCAAAGCUGCAGUCGUGUUCCCUAUGUCCCAAAGGUUCGAAGUAUCAAGAUUUGGGGUUAAAUUUGUGAAGGAACGAGCACUGGUGGUGGCUGGUUUUGAUGGAGCUAGAGAGAGAGCUUCGGGAGUUAGAAGGAGAGUGAGGUUGCAGGGAUGAAGAAAAAGAAAAAGAGAGAGAGUAAAAGUACAUUUUAAUAAAAAAAAAUGUAAAGUAGUGUUUGAUGGUGGUGAGUGGGUAGAUAGAGAAAAAAAAAAUGUAAGGGAAAAGAGAGAGAGUGGAAGAACCGGUUAAAAGGAAGAGAGAGAGAGAGAGAUGGCUAGGUUUAAAUGAGAAUAAAGACUAAAUUGAUAGACCUAAACAUGUUUCAGGAGGAAUAUAGAAAUAUAGCUAAAAAAACAGGUGGGGGUGGGUGGGUACAACAUAAAGUCUUUUCUUACAAACUGUUGAGUGGUAAAGUUGGACAAUUUCUAAGCACCUGCUAUUAUAAGUGUGAGUAAGUCUUUUCUUACAAACUCAACACCUAAGUUGUAAAGUUGGGACAAUUUCUAAGCACUUGCUAUUAUAAGUAUGAGUGAGUCCGACUUUUUUGCAGUGUUGUUGCUAUUAUAAGUAUGGCUGUAUGAGUAAGACUAACUUUUUGCAGUGUCAAUAACAACAGUUUGCAAAAACAAACAGAAACCAAAUGCCGUUUACUUUCACUAAUAGUGCUUUAGUUUGACAUUCAACUUAAGAACAGAUCUAUGAUUCUAUGUAUCCAUAAUCCCAUACCCCUUAACGAAUGUAAAAUCCUCAGUCCCAGAAACAAUUCCAAACUUUCUUCCUUCCAUUGAAUAAUGGUUAGCUCCUUGAAUUGCCAGACUACUUCUUCCAUUUUCUCCAUUCGUGGAUAUCACUCUUAGUUUACCUUUAUACAACUAAAAAACUAAAUCAUAUUCAUAAAAUAUGAUUUGUUUAUGCAUUGUUACAACCUAACACACUUAGUUUAAUUAGCAAUAUUUUUCUCUCAGUUGUAGAAAAGAGGUUUCUAGCUUGAAUCCUUCGUUUUCUUAAUAAACAACAACAAAAAUGAAUGUACUUAAAAAUUUAUAAGGUUCAUAUUUAUUACGUAACUUUAGGUGACAAAAGAAAAAUAUGAGGCCAUUGAAAAUGGGGAUCCCUUUGGAUAAAGGCUUAUAUAUGCAAAACCCAAAAUAUCAUCCGGGACUCGGUCAAUGCGAAUGACAAUUUAGCGGUUUCUCUGUCUU
rnacentral:lncRNA from 1 species